CCUACGGGCGGCAGCAGUAGGGAAUCUUCCACAAUGGGCGAAAGCCUGAUGGAGCAACGCCGCGUGGGUGAAGAAGGUCUUCGGAUCGUAAAACCCUGUUGUUAGAGAAGAAAGUGCGUGAGCGUAACUGCUCAUGUUUCGACGGUAUCUAACCAGAACGCCACGGCUAACUACGUGCCAGCAGCCGCCGGAAUACGUAGGUGGCAAGCCUUAUCCGGAUGGAUUGGGCGUAAAGGGAGCGCAGGCGGUCUUUUAAGUCUGAUGUGAAAGCCUUCGGCUUAACCGGCGUAGUGCAUUGGAAACUGGGAGACUUGAGUGCAGAAGAGGAGAGUGGAACUCCAGGUGUAGCGGUGAAAUGCGUAGAUAUAUGGAAGAACACCAGUGGCGAAGGCGGCUCUCUGGUCUGUAACUGACGCUGAGGUUCGAAAGCGUGGGUAGCAAACAGGAUUAGAUACCCGAGUAGUC
rnacentral:rRNA from 1 species